rnacentral:tRNA from 1 species
UUCAGGAUGGCCGAGUGGUUAUGGCGCCAGACUAAAGAUCUGACUCACUGUUGUGAACGUAGGUUCGAAUCCUACUCCUGAAC